rnacentral:rRNA from 1 species
UUGGGCGUAAGCGCUCGUAGGUGGUUUGGAAAGUCAGAUAUGAAAGGUCCGGGCUCAACUCGGGAAACGUAUCUGAAACUUCCUGACUGGAGGUAUGCAGGGGCAGAUGGAACUUGUGGUGUAGCAGUGAAAUGCGUAGAUAUCACAAGGAACGCCAAUGGUGAAGACAGUCUGCUGGGCAUUACCUGACACUGAGGAGCGAAAGCGUGGGGAGCGAACGGGAUUAGAUACCCCGGUAGUCCACGCCGUAAACGAUGCACACUAGGAAUGUGGAGAAUCGACCCUCUGCGUUUCGAAGCUAACGCGUUAAGUGUGCCGCCUGGGUAGUACGGCCGCAAGGCUAAAACUCAAAGGAAUUGACGGGGACCCGCACAAGCGGUGGAACAUGUGGUUUAAUUCGACAAUAAGCGAAGAACCUUACCAGGACUUGACAUCUCUGGAAUCCGCUGGAAACAGUGGAGUGCCGUAAGGAGCCAGAAGACAGGUGCUGCACGGUCGUCGUCAGCUCGUGCUGUGAAGUGUACCGUUAAGUCGGCCAACGAGCGUAACCCUUAUUGCAUGUUGUAUUCUCAUGCGAGACUGCCGGCGUUAAGUCGGAGGAAGGUGGGGAUGACGUCAGAUCAGCGUGG